CCCAUGCCCUUUCUUUCCAUCUAGGCUCUGUCUGAAGGCUUAAUUCAGCUACCUUAUCUCUCUAGGUAUGUGGAGACCAAAGCCAAGGGGCUGUUUUCCUGAGGGAAUUCACACUGAUUCGAAGAGAGAGCCUUCAUGAAGAUUUCCUGUCUGACUUCUUGAAUGGUCACAAAACUGAAGACCCGAAACAUCACAACAGAUGAAGAAGUAAGAAUAAGCAUGGCAGCUCAGACUCGAAUGGUUUGCAAAGGACAGAUACAAUCCUGUCAGCCCCAUGCUUGAGUUCUGGCUUUCAUCUCCACUGAUGUUUUUCAACACCAAAGAAACUUAUCAAGCUAUGAAGUAUUCACUCUGGAUAACUUCCUGAUUGAGUCCCUCUGAAAAUUCAUCUAUGUGCUAUAACUCAAGAGGUCAGUUUGUUACUGAAUGAUUGGACAGUUUAUCAGUGUUUUGAAGUUAGAGGAAAGAAAUUGAUUUCCCAAAAGGAGUGAAAUUUAGUCCAGAAGUGAAUUCAG
rnacentral:lncRNA from 1 species